UAGGCCCGUGGAGAGAGUCUGCUCAUUGGCCGAGAGGAGGGAAGGAGAAGACUAGGCGAUAGAGGAGUCACUGGGGUCUCCUGGGUUAAUAUUUGAAGCAUAUAAGGUUUAUUUUUGAGGCCUCUGUGUGUUUGUUCAGUGGCUAAUGAGUAGAACUGGCAGCAGGCGGGCAGCUAUCUUAGUGGUCGUAGUAAACGGGAGCUAUGUUACCUUCACUGCAUUUAGGAGCGCCCGGUGAGGACAGCUGAUGUACGUAGUGGUGGACUAUUUUUGUCGGCUGUAUCGACUCAACCAUUCAGAGCCUGGCACUCAUGGACAUGACCCUGGGCCAAGAACAUGUAUGUAAAGCGCUGCACGGCCACCUCUCUCUCCAUACACGUUUGACAUACUCAGACACGACAGACUUCUUCCAGAUGAGGUUUAAGAUGGAGACUCCGACAUCAUCAAAUCUGUUGUUCUGCCCAAGUUGUUCUGAACAAGGCAGUUAACCUGUUCCUAGGCCGUCAUUGAAAAUAAGAAUUUGUUCUUAACUGACUUGCCUGGUUAAAUAAAGGUCAAAUAAAAAAAAAUCAUUGGAGGACAAGAGGGAAGGAGGAGACCAAGUACCGAUGACCUGUGUUGAGAGCUGGGUUUACCAACAUCAGCAAAUCAAUAUUUUUUAUACCAGAGUCGUUCUUGAAUUACGGUGGCAUUUGGGUAUGGUGUAAUUAAAAGCAACAUUCUUUCUAGAUUUGUAUUUAUUGAAAUGUAUUGACCAUUAGGAUAACAUUGUGCCACCAGUAGGAGUUGUAACACCAAUGAGAAUUUUGUUUAUUGAGGAUUUUCUUAAAUUGGAGGCCACCGAUACUUAAAUCUAAGAUCAUUAACCCAUAAAAUAGUUGACUAAAGGGAUAUGAUUAAUAAUUGAGCUCAUAAUGUUAUUUCCCUUUUUAAAUUGACUAACCCCAAGUGACACUGGAUUCAGACACACCACAUUAUCAAUGGAAUCCUCAAAUGUAUGACAUAAUAAAAAAUAGUGUGAUUAGCUAACAAUUUUCUUUAAUAAAGACGUCUCCCCCGAUGUUUUCCACUGGAGGGAAUGGUCGAGGUCCUUGUAUAUCUUUGUAAUGAGUGGUUUUUCAGGCGGUAACUCCAAGGAAAUAAAACUGAGGGACAGAUAUAGUAGUAAAAAUAUAUAUAUUUUUAAUAGCCUUUGUUUUCAUUGAUCUAAACAAUAUCUUAAAUACCUUUUUCAUAUUCUAACAUUCCAAAUAAUAUUUAGCUCUAAAUCCCCAAAACGUCACUACAACUUCACACAUCACUACCUGGACAAGCCAAUGUGAUUGCUUGCCCUAAGUACUUUAUACUGCAAAACUUUUUGUUAAUACAUUGUUUAAUGGACUUGCAUUACAGUACCUAAGAGGUGGCGAAGUAUGUCUAUGAUAAGACGCUGCUCUACCUUCUUGACAGCACUGUCAACAAGGCAGGUCCUACAGGCCUACGAUUGUUCAGUCGUGUGGUCAGGUGCCACAAAAAAGGACUUUGGAAAAUUGCAUUUGGUUCAGAACAGGGCAGCGCGGCUGGCCCUUGAAUGUACACAGAGAGCUAAUGUUAAUAAUAUACAGGUCAAUCUCUCCUGGUAAUAAUGGAGGAGAGAUUGAUUUCAUCACUUCUUGUAUUUAUGAGAGGAAUUGACAUGUUGAACGCACCAAGCCGUCUGUUUGAACUCCUGGGACACAGCUCGGACACCCAGGCAUAUCCCACAAGAUAUGCCACAAGAGGUCUCUUCACAGUCCCCAAAUCCAGAACAGACUAUGGAAAGCGCACAGUACUAAAUAGAGCCAUGACAACAUGGAACUCUAUUCCACAUCUCGUAACUCAUGCAAGCAGUAAAAUUAGAUACAAAAAAAUAUAUAUAUAUUAAAAUCUUUUAAACACCUUAUCGAACAUCGGGGACUGUGAAUCAAUACAAACAUUGGAGCAUAAACACACGAUAGCAUACGCACUAUAUAGUCACGUGCACAUGGAUUUUGUACGGUAUAUAUGUGGUGGAGUAGGGUACCUGAGGGCACACAGUCUGAAUGUACUGUUUUUAUAAUUGUAUGAACUGCCUUCAUUUUGCUGCCUUGGCAGCAGCUAAUGGGGGUACAUAAUAAAUACAAAUUGUUUUAUUAUUGUCUAACUAUUUGUCCGUUUUUCAUGGUUGCAAAGGCCACCACAAUUCAAGAAUGAACCAUGUAUGAUUCUGUGGCACUCUCACCCGUGUCUCCGAGGCACUUUGGUAUGCCAAGAUACCUGUCUGUAGGCUAUGUUAUUGGACUGUUCUCUCUCUGACCCUCCUCCAAAAUUGCACUGAGUCUUGAUUCUUAUUCGUACCUUAAUGUUCCUUUCAUUGUUGUUAAUAGUUGUGUUCAUAUUUAUUAAGUUAAGUUGCCGAUAAUGAUCCUUCCAGUUUUCAUCAUCUGGAUUCUCUCCUGCUGUAGAACAUUAAAUUAACAGCCCUCCCUCUGUAGGAUCCAUUUCAGUAAUUCAGCAGGGUAAAUAGAUGGGUAUGUGCAUACCGUAUGCCCUGUGAUACUGUAUUCAGUAUCACAGUAUCACAUAUGUACGUCUAUGGUGCCUCCCCAGGGUUACUAUGUAUGUCUAUGGUGCCCGCCCAGGGUUAAUAUGCAUGUCUAUGGUGCCCGCCCAGGGUUAAUAUGUAUGUCUAUGGUGCCUGCCCAGGGUUAAUAUGUAUGUCUAUGGUGCCUGCCCAGGGUUAAUAUGUAUGUCUAUGGUGCCUGCCCAGGGUUAAUCUGCAUGUCUAUGGUGCCUGCCCAGGGUUAAUAUGCAUGUCUAUGGUGCCUGCCCAGGGUUAAUAUGCAUGUCUAUGGUGCCCGCCCAGGGUUAAUAUGUAUGUCUAUGGUGCCUGCCCAGGGUUAAUAUGUAUGUCUAUGGUGCCUGCCCAGGGUUAAUAUGCAUGUCUAUGGUGCCUGCCCAGGGUUAAUAUGCAUGUCUAUGGUGCCUGCCCAGGGUUAAUAUGUAUGUCUAUGGUGCCUGCCCAGGGUUAAUAUGUAUGUCUAUGGUGCCUGCCCAGGGUUAAUAUGCAUGUCUAUGGUGCCCGCCCAGGGUUAAUAUGCAUGUCUAUGGUGCCUGCCCAGGGUUAAUAUGCAUGUCUAUGGUGCCUGCCCAGGGUUAAUAUGUAUGUCUAUGGUGCCUGCCCAGGGUUAAUAUGUAUGUCUAUGGUGCCUGCCCAGGGUUAAUAUGCAUGUCUAUGGUGCCUGCCCAGGGUUAAUAUGUAUGUCUAUGGUGCCUGCCCACAGUUAAUAUGUAUGUCUAUGGUGCCUGCCCAGGGUUAAUAUGUAUGUCUAUGGUGCCUGCCCACAGUUAAUAUGUAUGUCUAUGGUGCCUGCCCAUGGUGACAGGCCAUCAGCUUACAGUAGCUGUUCUACAUAGCCAACAGUGCCCUGCAGCAGCAUCAGAAUGCCUCAGCAAAGGCCUCCCUCCACCUACUGCCCAUGGACCUAACCAUUGAUGUUUGCAGAUCUGUAUGGCGGAAGCUUCACCUCUACACUGCUAAUAUCUAUCUAGACCCUUCAGAUCGGCAAACAUGCCCAUAUUAGGGCCAAGGGGAAGGGGUAGGUAGAGAUUGAAUUGAGACCAGCUGUAGUCGUCAAUGUGCUGAAAGAAGAAACCUUGUAUGCCUUCAUGAUCCACACAGGGCUGCUUCAACAGCCACAGGGUGGCGCUAGCUAUUUGUCUAACAGUCCUCUGGUACUGUACUGUGUAGUUGUAUGUAAACAUGUUAAGAUAUACAGUGGUACGGUAUGAAACUGUAACCUAUAGUUAGUUAUAUGUAACUAGCCAUUUAUAAAGUUUGAUUUGUGAAAAUAUAAGUGUGUGAUGUUAACACUUUUUUGUGAUCUGGUCACUUGGUGUAAAACAUGAGGUUUCUGGGUGGGUUGUGAUGUGAAAUAGUUGAGGCUGACAGAGUGCACCUGUCACUUCAUUUUUUUGCCUGGCAACUCAACAGAAGACCAUACUAGAAACAAGUAUUUGAAUGUUUUAGGUUUAAUUUAUUUGCACCAAAGAAAAUAAGUCAUCAAAUACAAUACAGAUCAAAACUAAUACAUAUAAAACGGGUUGCAGGUUGGAAGCCCAAUGGCUGAUUUAUAAACCACACCUCAGCAACAGUUGAAGUCAGAAGUUUACAUACAACUUAGCCAAAUACCUUUUAAACUCAGUUUUUCACAAUUCCUGACAUUUAAUCCUAUUAACAAUUCCCUGUUUUAGGUCAGUUAGGAUCACCACUUUAUUUUAAGAAUGUGAAAUGUCAGAAUAACAGUAGAGUGAUUUAUUUCAGCUUUUAUUUCUUUCAUCACAUUUCCAGUGGGUCAGAAGUUUACAUACACUCAAUUAGUAUUUGGUAGCAUUGUCUUUAAAUUGUUUAACUUGGGUCAAACGUUUUGGGUAGUCUUCCACAAGCUUCCCACAAUAAGUUGGGUGAAUUUUGGCCCAUUCCUCCGGACAGAGUUGGUGUAACUGAGGCAGGUUUGUAGGCCUCCUUGCUCGCACACACUUUUUCAGUUCUGCCAGAUUUUCAGAUUUUCUGUGGGAUUGAGGUCAGGGCUUUGUGAUGGCCUCUCCCAAUAUCUUGACCUUGUUGUCCUUAAGCCAUUUUGCCACAACUUUGGAAGUAUGCUUGGGGUCAUUGUCCAUUUGGAAGACCCAUUUUCGACCAAGCUUUAACUUAACUGAUGUCUUGAGAUGUUGCUUCAAUAUAUCCCCAUAAUUUUCCUACCUCAUUAUGCCAUCUAUUUUGUGAAGUGUACCAGUCCCUCCUGCAGCAAAGCACCCCACAACCUGAUGCUGCCACCCCUGUGCUUCAGGGUUGGGAUGGUGUUCUUCGGCUUGCAAGCCUCCCCCUUUUUCCUCCUAACAUAACAAUGGUCAUUAUGGCCAAACAGUUUCAUCAGACCAGAUGAUAUUUCUCCAAAAAGUACGAUCUUUGUCCCUAUGUGCAGUUGCAAACCGUAGUCUGGCUUUUUUAUGGUGGUUUUGGAGCAGUGGUUUCUUCCUUGCUGAGCGUCCUUUCAGGUUAUGUCGAUAUAGGACUUGUUUUACUGUAGAUAUAGAUACUUUUGUAGCUGUUUCCUCCAGCAUCUUCACAAGAUCCUUUGGUGUUGUUCUGUGAUUGAUUUGCACUUUUCGCACCAAAGUACGUUCAUCUCUAGGAGACAGAACGCUUCUCCUUCCUGAGCGGUAUGAUGGCCGCGUGGUCCCAUGGUGUUUAUACUUGUCUCCCCUCAUUAUUGAUUAGAAGUUCCAAGACAGCGUAUGUAAACAGUGUAUUCCACGACAGCAUAUGUCAGCUUCUGACUUCAACUGUAUAAGUCUCCAGCUUCAGUGAUUUCCUCUGUCCUCUCUCACCUACUUUUGAAAAAGGUCAAAGGUAAUCGAGGAGAGGGAAUUUAGACAUUCUUUCUCCACUUGUGAAUGACAUAUAGAGGGGUGGAUGACAUAAACAAAUGGAAUCAGCUGCGCAAGACAUUUAAUAGAUAAAAUGAUAAGUAGCAUAUUGUUUUUAAACACGUGCAUGCUUUUCUCCACAGACUAAAAAAAAGUGGAUUCAAAGGGGGGGUGUGGCUGAUUUCAAAACUCUUCUGGGAAAGACUCCGUUAUGAUACACAUGACUAUCUUCGAUGAAAGGUGGCUAUCGAGGAGGGGAGGACUCUUCCGUUCACCUACUAACCAAUUGACAUCUCUAUCAGUUUCCGAGUCACGGAGGAGAGGGCAGAGGAUGGACCUUUGUCUAAAUGAGAAUAAGUCUAUAAGUAGUAGGCUACAACUUCCUGCUCAGCAUCAUAACGUCGGAGACCAAUUCAUCUUAUUUGAUUGUUCUUUUGUUGAGAUUACAUUUAAUUUAUUCAAGUAUGCAUUCAUCUUUAUUAAACACAUUGUUAAAAACAAUAUCAGAUAUUGAAAGGAUCCUUUCAGUUCGACUAGCUCACCAUGACAAAUCAUAAAAAUAUACAUAUAUUACUCAUAAAAGCAGUCUGAUUUGAUUUGACAAUUUAAAAUACAUUACAAAAGGCACAGAUACAUAUAUAUUUGUCUGCAGCAAAGUGAUAAUCUGUUGUUAUCAUCAGAAAGUUGAGUGGUUUGGUUCAUCAACCUUGCUUCCUGACUCUAUACUAUAGCUUAAUUGACCCAUAUCUCAUUUACUGUAAUAUUGUCUGAGCCAGUACAUAUGCCCCCAACCUACACAAAUGACUCAUCAUACAAAAUAACUCUGCAAGACUGGCUACCUCCUCUAAAUACCUGGCUCCAUCUGAACCUUUGUUUAAGAAACUCAAUGUCUUGUCUAUUUAUGACAUCACUGUACACCAAUUAUGCACUAUCAUCUACAAUCCUCAUACCUCCCAGACAGUUUACCUAAACCCUUCAAUGGAUUCUUCCAGGCUCAUUCUGAGAUCCAUCUAUAUAACACAAGACACUGUGAUCACAUUCACCCUCCCCACUGCUGCACCUCACAUAGUAAAUCCUCUAUCAGAUACAGAGGUAGCAUACUCUGGAAUUCUUAUCUUCACAUUGCCAAAACCUCAUCAUCCCUCAGUAACUUUAAGCGAAGACUGGGGGUCAGCCUGAUGAACCAAACUACUCAGUAAUCUCCUGCAUAUAGCCCAACUCUCUCACUCACAAUGCACACACACACACACACACAUUUAAACAAAACAUUUACUGUUUAUUAUUUUUGUGAUUGCUGAUCGGUUAAUUUGUACAUUUUAUAAUUAGUUUUAUCCAGGGAUUUUUCUACUUAUGUAUUGUACAUACAGUUGAAGUCGGAAGUUUACAUACACUUCAGUUGGAGUCAUUAAAACUCGUUUUUAAACCACUCCACAAAUUUCUUGUUAACAAUCUAUAGUUUUGGCAAGUCGGUUAGGACAGCUACUUUGUGCAUGACACAAGUAAUUUUCCCAACAAUUGUUUACAGACAGAUUAUUUCACUUAUAAUUCACUGUAUCACAAUUCCAGUGGGCCAGAAGUUUACAUACACUAAGUUGACUGUGCCUUUAAACAGCUUGGAAAAUUCCAGAAAAUGAUGUCAUGGUUUGAGAAGAUUCUGAUAGGCUAAUUGACAUCAUUUGAGUCAAUUGGAGGUCAAGCUCAGUGCCUCUUUGCUUGACAUAAUGGGAAAAUCAAAAGAAAUCAGCCAAGACCUCAGAAAAAAUAUUGUUGACUUCCACAAAUCUGGUUCAUCCUUGGGAGAAAUUUCUAAACGCCUGAAUGUACCACGUUCAUCUGUACAAACAAUAGAACACAAGUAUACACACCAUGGGACAACGCGGCCGUCAUACCGUUCAGGAAAGACACGCGUACUGUCUCCUAGAGAUGAACAUACUUUGGUGCGAAAAGUGCAAAUCAAUCCCUUAACAACAGCAAAGGACCUUGUGACGAUGCUGGAGGAAACAGUAUCUAUAUUCACAGUAAAAUUCGUCCCAUAUCGAAAUAACUUGAAAGGAUGCUCAGCAAGGAAGAAGCCACUGCUCCAAAACCGCCAUAAAAAGCUAGACUACGGUUUGCAACUGCACAUGGGGACAAAGAUCGUACUUUUUGGAGAAAUGUCCUCUGGUCUGAUGAAACAAAAAUAGAACUGUUUGGCCAUAAUGACCAUCGUUAUGUUUGGAGGGAAUAGGGGGCUAGCUUGCAAGCCGAACAACACCAUCCCAACCGUGAAGCACGGGGGUGGCAGCAUCAUGUUGUGGGGGUGCUUUGCUGCAGGAGGGACUGGUGCACUUCACAAAAUAGAUAGCACUAUGAGGAAGAAAAAUUAUGGGGAUAUAUUGAAGCAACAUCUCAAGACAUCAAUCAGGAAGUUAAUGCUUGGUCGAAAAUGGGUCUUCCAAAUGGGCAAUGACUCCAAGCAUACUUCCAAAGUUGUGGCAAAAUGGCUUAAGGACAACAAGGUCAAGGUAUUGGAGUGGCCAUUACAAAGCCCUGACCCCAAUCCUAUAGAACAUUUGUGGGCAGAACUGAAAAAGUGUGUGCGAGCAAGGAGGCCUACAAACCUGACUCAGUUACACCAGCUCUGUCAGGAUGAAAUGCAAUGCUAUCAAAUACUAAUUGAGUGUAUGUAAACUUCUGACCCACUGGGAAUGUGAUGAAAGAAAUAAAAGCUCAAAUAAAUCAUUCCCUCUACUAUUUUUCCUGACAUUUCACAUUCUUAAAAUAAAGUGGUGAUCCUACCUGACCUAAGAAAGGGCAUUUUUAAAUGCCAGGAACUGUGAAAAACUGAGUUGUAAUAUAUUUGGCUAAGGUUUGUGUGUCACGACUUCCACCGAAGUUGUUUCCUCUCCUUGUUCGGGCGGUGUUUGGCGAUCGGCGUCACCGGUCUUCCAGGCGUCGUCGAUGAACUUUUCAUUUUCCAUUUGUUUUGUCUUGCUUUCCUACACACCUGGUUUCCAUUUCCCUCUUUAAGUGUUGUGUAUUUAACCCUCUGUUCCCCCCAUGUCCUUGUGUGGAAUGGUUUGUUUGUAAGUGCUUGUGCACUAUGUUGCUGGUGCGCGUCGGGUUUUGUACCCAUGUAGAUUAUUUUUUUAUUACCGUUGGUUUUGAAAUUAAACUGCUCUCCUGCGUCUGACUUCACUGCCACCAGUUCCGCAACCCUUACAUUGUGUAAACUUCUGACUUCAGCUGGAUGUACGCACCACUUUUCCGUUAUUUUAUUUUUUUAAAUAUUUUUUUACAAUAUUUUUUUUAUAUAUAUUUUGGGGGAUUAUGUUGUGUAUGUCCAUUACAUGAAAUCCAAAUAAAAAUCCAUUUAAAUUA